AUUGAACGCCGGCGGCAGGCCUAACACAUGCAAGUCGAGCGGAUGAAGGGAGCUUGCUCCUGGAUUCAGCGGCGGACGGGUGAGUAAUGCCUAGGAAUCUGCCUGGUAGUGGGGGAUAACGUCCGGAAACGGGCGCUAAUACCGCAUACGUCCUGAGGGAGAAAGUGGGGGAUCUUCGGACCUCACGCUAUCAGAUGAGCCUAGGUCGGAUUAGCUAGUUGGUGGGGUAAAGGCCUACCAAGGCGACGAUCCGUAACUGGUCUGAGAGGAUGAUCAGUCACACUGGAACUGAGACACGGUCCAGACUCCUACGGGAGGCAGCAGUGGGGAAUAUUGGACAAUGGGCGAAAGCCUGAUCCAGCCAUGCCGCGUGUGUGAAGAAGGUCUUCGGAUUGUAAAGCACUCUAAGUUGGGAGGAAGGGCAGUAAGUUAAUACCUUGCUGUUUUGACGUUACCAACAGAAUAAGCACCGGCUAACUUCGUG
rnacentral:rRNA from 1 species